CGAGCACCGGGCCGAGGCCGAGGCGGCGGAGCCGGCGGUAGAGGGCGAGCACAUUGAUGAAGAUGCGGGUGGCCAGGCAUAUGACUAAGGUCUGUGGGAUGCAGUAACCAGAAGCAAUGUGGUUGAUGGAGCUGACAGAUUACAGCAAGCUGCUGUCAGGAUGCACGAGAUGGCGAGAAGGGCGGACACUCUGAGUUUCAGAGGAGUUGAGAGUGAUGAAGAUAUCGAUGUGGAUUGAAUGAUGAAAAAGACGAAUAGUGGUUUCCUGAAGCUUGAACAUCUGUUGCUGGCCUUCCUUCUCCAGCCAGUUUCUGAGAUAUUGCUGUUCAGUCACUGCGCUUUAUGGCCUGUAGUAGAUGUCUAUCUCUAGUCAUCUGUUACCAGGUUGUCUUCAGAUCCUAGUCUGGUCUCGUGAUGUUGUGUUGAAGUACUGGUUGCAACAUUGGAAAAUGUUUUAUGUUUUUGCCUUUUUCUUUCUGGCUGUAAGACUAUUUGUUAUGUUAUUCACUGGUAAUGGAACCCGGCUCUCUUUUGAGGGGUGUUGAGAGUUGUA